rnacentral:rRNA from 1 species
GCCCUUGCGGAUCCGCGGCGCUGCAGGUUCGAUCCUGGCUCAGGACGAACGCUGGCGGCGUGCCUAAUGCAUGCAAGUCGCACGCACUCGCUUCGGCGGGUGAGUGGCGCACGGCUGAGUAACACGUGGGAACCCGCCCCCCGGUGGGGGAUAACGCGACGAAAGUCGCGCUAAUCCCGCAUACGUCCGCAGGGGGAAAGCGCUUCGGCGCGCCGGGGGAGGGGCCUGCGGCCCAUCAGGUCGUUGGUGGGGUAACGGCCUACCAAGCCGAUGACGGGUAGCUGGUCUGGGAGGAUGACCAGCCAGACUGGGACUGAGACACGGCCCAGACUCCUACGGGAGGCAGCAGCAAGGAAUUUUCGGCAAUGGGCGCAAGCCUGACCGAGCAACGCCGCGUGCGGGAUGACGGCCUUCGGGUUGUAAACCGCUUUUCGGGGGGACGAUGAUGACGGUACCCCCGGAACAAGCCCCGGCUAACUCUGUGCCAGCAGCCGCGGUAAGACAGAGGGGGCGAGCGUUGUCCGGAGUCACUGGGCGUAAAGCGCGCGCAGGCGGUCGCCAAAGUGUCGUGUGAAAGCCCCCGGCUCAACCGGGGGAGGCCAUGGCAAACUCGGCGACUGGAGCGGCGGAGAGGCCCCUCGAAUUGCCGGUGUAGCGGUGAAAUGCGUAGAGAUCGGCAGGAAGACCAAGGGGGAAGCCAGGGGGCUGGCCGCUGGCUGACGCUGAGGCGCGACAGCGUGGGGAGCGAACCGGAUUAGAUACCCGGGUAGUCCACGCCGUAAACAAUGACCACUCGGCGUGCGGCGACUAUUGACGUCGCGGUGCGCCUUAGCUCACGCGCUAAGUGGUCCGCCUGGGAACUANGGCGCAAGCUUAAAACUCAAAGGAAUUGACGGGGCCCGCACAGCAGCGGAGCGUGUGGUUUAAUUCAAGGCAACCCGAAGAAC